rnacentral:lncRNA from 10 species
CUCGCUCUGUCGCCCAGGCUGGAGUAAAGUGGCACAAUCAUGGCUCACUGCAGCUAAGACCUCCCCCGGCUCAGGUGAUCCUCUCAUCUCAGCCUCCAAAGUAGCUAGGACUACAGGCACCUACCUGGCUGAUUUUUCUAUUUUUUUGUAGAGAUGAUUUUGCCUUGUUGCCCAGGCUGGUCUCAAACUCCUGGGCUCAAGAGACCUGCCCGCCUCAGCCUCCCAAAGUGCUGGGAUUACAGGCGUGAGCCACACCACCCGGCCAUUGCCUACACUCUUUAUCCAGAGUUUAUUUGGUGAUUUUCACCUCAUUUUUGUGCUCAGUCUUAAGAUCUGAUUAAUGCCAAAAAUAAAUAAUCUAAUUUCAAAAUAAUAUAAGUUCAUAUUACGUAUAGACAUGUUUGUGCACAUAUGCAUAUGAUGAGCUUCACGUAUACAACUAUUCAUACAUUUAUAUUUUUAUCAUUCAUAUAUGCAUGCAUGUGUGUAAGAGGACUUGGCCUUUCUUAUUUAAAACUGAUCAUAUAUUAAUAUAUAUAAGAAGGACAGAGAAUGGAAGGCCAUACACCUCCAUGUUAGCAGUAGUUAUCUCACAAGGGUAGAAUUACUUCCUUUGCUGAUUUCUCUUCUAUUCUUUUUUUGUCUGUGAUUUUCAUGUUUUCUGCAAUAAUCAAAUAUUACUUUUAUAAAUAGAAAAAACCCAUAAUGUAAUGGUUUUGGAAAAGUGUAUUUGACUUUAGUAACAAAGUAGUCUGUUCUAACAAAAAAGCAAGGUAAAAUUGGUCUUAGGGCCUGACAGCUCAGGUGACCCUUAACUCACUGCUUAAUUGGCACUGACUUGGCCAACAUCACCUCAGUGUUUUCUCAUCUGAAGCAGAGAAGAUAUUUGCUAAGCCCUAUUCAGGGCUGUUGAGGAAUCAAAUGAGAAGGUUAUCCGAAAGCACUUUGUGAUUAGACUGCAUAUAUAAAAACAUGCUGACUUCACUGUGACAGUUGCAUUUUCCGUGAACUGGCUGUGCACCUCCUGUUAUAGGGAGUUCCCAGGAGCCGGGUCAUGCCCGAGCCUUCCUGUGGAACUCCCCGAAGAACUUGGUCCCUCAUUUGGGAACAGCAACAAUCAAGAAGACCUGCCAAUGUCAGAACUGGAAGAGUACCAGAUUCCCAGAUUUAGUUCCAACAGUCAAGAGUCAAGGUUUGUUUCAUCGGAUAUCCUGACCAUGGAAUUCCACAGGAACUAGGGUGGUUGAAUCAAUAAUAGGACACUCAGGUACAUUUGAAUUUCAGAUACAGGUACAUAACAAAUAAUUUUUAGUAUGAGUAUGUCCCAAAUAUUGCACAGAAUUCAUGUACAUCAAAAAACAUUUGUUGUUUAUCUGAAAUUCAAAUUUAACUGAGUUUCCUGUCUGUAUUUUUUUGUUAAAUCUAGUCAUCCUAAUGGAAACUUUUACCCCCUCUCACUAGUUUGGUUGGUUGGUUGGUUGGUUGGUUGGUUGGUUUUUACUUAUUAACUUCAGCUUCUUAAUGAGAAUUUAGGUUUUACAAAUACAGUCGUCCUUUGGUGUGCAUGGGAGAUUGGUUCUAGGACCUCCCUCAGACACCAAAAUCCACAGAUGCGCAAGUCCUUGAUACAAAAUGGUGCAGUAUUUGCAUAUAACCUAUGCACAACCUCCUGUAUACUUUAUGUCAUCUCUAGAUUACUUAAGAUCUCUAGAUUGCUAAUAUAAAUGCUAUGUAAAUAAUUGUUACACUGUGUUAUUUAGGAAAUAAUGAUGAGGAAAAAAGUCUGUACAUGUUUAGUACAAAUGCAAUUUGUUUCCAAAUACUUUUUAUCCAUGGCUAAUUGGAUCCAGUCAUGGAAUCCACAGAUACUGAGGGCCAACUGCAUAUGCUCAGGGCCUUUCAGAUAAGGCACCCUCUGUAAGUGCACCUGACAUAUGCUAAACAAUGAUAGGCUAUUGCAACAGCAUCAGCAGGGCUGGCAGGGUGCUAAGGAAGCACACAGGUGACUGUUGGGGCACCCACCAGCAUUCUUUCAGAACAUUGUAAACGGUAGAGAGCUUCAAGGGUGACUGUCUGGGUCACAUCUUGCCCUUUAAUUGGCCUGGCUGUUGUGCAAAGGAAGCACCUGCAGCCAUCAGCGUGUUCAACCACCAGUAGACUGGAGUCAUUUUUCAUUCUUGGAUGUGAAAUUGGCCAGGGGCAAUUAAGAAUUGGGAAACUAGAAAAGGCAGCCCGGUGUCAAGGAGGUCAAGAUUGGGCCACAGCCUUGCUUCCCACAAGGUCUGUCUUGUCUCUGGAUAGUGGGAGAGUUGAGGCAAGGGAGUCUGGAAUUAUUAUAAAAGGCAGCUUUUCUUGAAGCAAACAGCCAGCCAGGCAGCACAGCUUCCAAGCUGAGAGUCUGAAGGGCCUGAGCCAGUGCCCCUUCCCAACAAGCCAGAUACCCCGAGGCCCCACCACUGGCCUCACACUCUGGGGACGCCUAAGCAUUUCAAUUAGACUAUAGCAUUCUCUGUCCUCUGCUAAAUUCAUUACCAAAAGAAAACAGAAUCGAGGAUAAAAGAAGAGACAUGGUGGCAAGUCAGGAGUCCUGGCCAUGUGGACUUAGUCAUGGCUUCACUCCUCUGAACUUCAGUUUCUUCAUUUAUAAAUUAAAAGGUAGAACUCCAUGAUUGCUGAGGUUACAUCCAACUCUAUAAUGCUGGUGUAUAAGGGAGAUGCAGGAUCAAUAAGCUUUGGUAAGGAAACAGAUUUUCUCACAGCUUAGAAUAUCAGACUCUGUUCAGGAUUCUAGAUUUGUUUUAGAAUGGGGCCCUAGGUUGCCAAGGGGGUACAGUGAGACCACCUGGGAGUAGCUGGAGAAACAAGAAUAAGGAAGGGGCCAACACCUCUGCGACUUACCACUGACACUCUUCAUUCCACUCCUGAUAAGGCCCAGCUCUUAAAGAUAAGGCCAUUGUGGCCCAGCGCAGUGGCUCACGCCUAUAAUCCCAGCACUUUGGGAGGUCGAGGCGGGCAGAUCACUUGAGGCCAGAAGUUCAAGACGAGCCUGGCCAACAUGGCAAAACCUCAUCUCAACUAAAAAUACAAAAAUUAGCUGGACAUAGUGGCUAAUUUUUGUGGUCCCAGCUACUUUGGAGGCUGAGGCAGGAGAAUCACUUGAACCCGGGAGGUGGAGGUUGCAGUGAACUGAGAUCUUGCCACUGCACUCUGUCUCCAAAAAAAGAAAAGAUAAGCCCAUUGUCCUAUAUGGGAGAAACUGAUUGCAAAUUCAAUGACCAUUUAUUGUGUUCUUUUUCCAAGCCAGGAAAAGUCUAGGCUACUAGAGAAUAAAUUGUAAAUAGUUGCUAGUCUGUGCUGAGUUUCCUUUAUUCAUUACUAAUUCAAUUAAUGUUUAUUGAGCAUCUGCUCCAUAUCAGGACUAUUCUAAGCUCUGAAGAUGCUGUAUUGGAAGCCUUUCCCCAUCCACCAGCAGAAUAUGAGGAAAUAGUCUGCAAAAUGUAACUGCUUCUCCAGCUGCUAAUUGCACAAAAGCAGGUACCGUGUUACUCUGAGGUUUAGUUCUACCUUGUUCCCGGUCUUCAUUGACCCAUCUUGUUUUGAAUAAUCAUGAGAGAAGCAAGGAGAAUGUUAUUAGCUGAGUUGUGUCACCCCAAAAUUCAUAUGUUGAAGUUCUAAUCCCCAGUAUCUCAUUUGCAGAUGGGGUCUUUGCGGAUGAUUAAGUUCAGAUGAGGUCAUGGGGGUAGGCCCUAAUCCAAUACGAUUGUGUCCUUAUGAAAAGGGAAAAUUGGACACAGAGACAGACAUGAAGUUGGAGAGAGCACCAUGUAAAGAUGAAGGCAGGAAUCGGGACAAUUUUCAAGCCAAGAAACACCCAAGAUUGCCAGGAAACCAGCAGAAGCUAGAAGGAAGACAUGGAACAGAAUCUCCUUCACAGUCUUCAGAAGGAGCCACCCCUGCCAACAUCUGGAUGAUCUUGGACUUCAAGCUUCCAGAGCUGUUCAAGCCUCCGAACAAUACAUUUCUGUUGAUUAAGCCAUGUAGUUUGUGGCACUUUAUUAUAGUAGCCCUAAGAAAUGAAUACAGGGCCAGGUAUGGUGGCUCACACCUGUAAUCUCUGCACUUUGGGAGGCUGAGGCAGGAGGAUCACUUGAGACCAGCCUGGGCAACAUAAUGAGACCCUGUCCCUACUAAAAAAUUUUAAAACAAAAAUUAGCCAGAUGUGGUGGCACAUGUAGUCCCAGCUACUCAGGAGGCUGAGAUGGGAGGAUCACUUGAGCCAGAGAGGUCAAGGCUGCAGUGAGCCGUGAUCGCACAACUACACGCCAGCCUCCAUGACAGAGAGAGACUCUGUUUAAAAAAAUAAUAAUAAAAGAAACAAAUAUAAAGAGCUUUGGUCAUACUGUGCUACUCUCAUUGCUUAGGCUACAAGUGGGUAUAGUGUCCCAUGGCAACUUCAGGAUGCAAGGCCUAUAAUGCUCUAGGGCCAGGGCCCAGAACCUUUUGAAGAGUUGCCAAGAGCAAGUCAGGGCCUAAGGAACUGCCUAGGGCUAGAGUUCUGGGGCCAGCCUGUUCUUCACACCAGCCGGCUCUGACUUCUCACAGGGCCCAGUGACUUUCUUCAUGCCCUCCCCUUGCUCCUCAUGGAUGUAGGAGGGCCUGUCCUUGGGCCUCUCCAGCACCUCCCAGCCCAGCCCAGGCCACGGCCCCACUCCACCUCUGUUUUGAGGACUAACUUUCAUUUUUCAUUGCAUGUUCUUCUGACCUCUAAUUUUUGGCCCAAUCCGGAUUUUGCCUUUGGCUCUCUAGAUUAGACACAGAGCUCAUGGAGGCUGUGCUGCAAUUUGAACCAGGGAUAGGACAAGAAUGUCAGAGGCUGUUUAGGGAUCGUGGAGUGGGGGAGGGUUAUAGAGAAAGAAUGCAUUUGGCUCAGAUCAUAUUAAAAAAUCAAAACAACUCAUACUUUGAGUUUCCCAAGUGCUUUGGUGUAUAUUGCCCUUGAGCUAUACAAUGCAGCCCCUGGGGGACAGUUAAGAUGGGUGUCCUUAUUAUUUUAUUUACAUCUCCAUGUUAAAAAUGAAGGAACUGAGGCUCACCCAGGUUACACAACUUGACUGAAAUCACACAGUCCAUGCGGGAGCCAGCAUUUGGUUUUAAGUACAAGUUCUUUCUGCUCUGCCACGCUCUCCCCGCAUAGAUCAGCGCUCAGAAGCUAAAGGAGGAUGCAGAGCCUGGACUGAGAGGACACAGGCAGACGCAGACCAGACAUACUGACUUGGCUCUCCCUCCUCAGCAAGUAGCAACUGGCCAAAUACCACACACGAAUAACAAACACCUUGCAUUUAUAUAACACCUCACAAUUGACAGUGCUUUUACAAGCAUUGUCUCAUUCCAUCCUCACAAAUAAACCCAUGAGGUAAGCAGGAUGAACUCGGUUAUUCUUUUUUUUUUUUUUUUUUUUUUGAGACAGGGUCUCACUCUGUCGCCCAGGCUGCUGUGGCGCAAUCACAGCUCACUGCAGCCUCGACCUCCCGGGCUCAGGUAAUCCUCCCACCUCAGACUCCCUGAAUAGCUGGGAGUAUAGAUGUGCACCACCACACCUGGCUAAUUUUUGUAUAUUUUGUGGAGAUGGGUUUUUGCCAUGUUGCUGAGACUGGUCUUGAACUCCUGGGCUGAAACAAUCCACUCACUUCCAUCUCCCAAAGUGCUGGGAUGACAAGUGUGAGCCACCGCACCCGGCAAACCUGGUUAUUCUUAUUUUAAGAUGAAGCAACUAAGGAAAGGCAGGUUAAACUCCUGGCCCAUAGUCACAAAGUCAGGAGAAGUGGGACUCAAACCCAGUGUUUCUCUUUAAGUCCAUCUUCUUUCUUACUUCUCAGGAAGAGAGUACAAUCCAGGGACCGCAAAUACUUGGCACGCAUACAGUCUUAUCUUUUCCCACACCCAAGACAGACAUUACUAAUUGAUCACAGCAUUUUAGCCCAGAUUUGGCCUCAGGAUCCUCAGUAUAGUUCUCUGGGCAGCCCUUGUCAGCCAGAACAGACAAGCAAGAUGAAGACCUUUUCCAGCCUGCUCUAAGCAGUACCUAUAACUGGCUCAAGUCACAGAUACCAAGUGUACAAAUCCAUCUGAUUAGAAAUCUGGCUAAAAAUAAGAAGGACAAAACAGACGCUGGGGUCUACUUGAUGGGGGAGGGUGAAAGGAGGGAGAGCAACAGAAAAGAUAACUAUUGGGUACUAGGCUUAAAAUCUGGGUGAUGAAAUAAUCUGUACAACAGACCCGCAUGACAUGUGUUUACCUAUGUAACAUGCCUUCACAUGUACCCCCAAACCUAAAAUAAAAUUUAAAAUAAUAGUAAUAAAAAUAAUUUUCAUAAUGAGAUGAAGAAUCAGCUAAAUCAAAUAAUAUUUUUAAAACUCAUUUUAUUCAUUAAUUAUACAAUACAUGUUAAACACACAUAUAGUUAUAAAGUAUAUAACAUAAGGAAAUAUGGUUCAAGAUCUAAGAAGAGCCUAAAUUUGUUUUCUCCUACCUGUUAAUUUACAACCAGCACAAAAAUAAUAAUAGCUAACAUUGGCUGGGUGCAGUGGCUCAGGCCUGUAAUCCCAGCACUUUGGGAGGCCAAGGCGGGUGGAUCACUUGAGGUUAGGAGUUCAAGACCAGCCUGACCAACAUGGCGAAGCCCUGUCUUUACUAAAAAUACAAAAAUCAGCCAUGCAUGGUGGCAGGCACUUGUAGUCCCAGCUAUUCAGGAGGCCGAGGCAGGAAAAUCGCUUGAAUCUGGGAGGUGGAGGUUGCAGUGAACUGAGACUGCACCACUGCACUGCAGACUGGGCAACAGAGCAAGACUGCAUCUCAAAAAAAUAAAAUAAAUAAAUAGUAAUAAUAAAAAUAGCUAACAUAUUUUUGAGUACUUACUCUGUGUCAGGUGCUAUAUUAAGUACGUCUUCUGCAUUUCCCUAAAAAGUAGAUCUGAUUCUUCACAUUUUAGAGAUACGGGAAUUGAGGCUUUGAGGACUUAGGAAACUUGCCAGAUGCAACCUUAUACUGCUGAAUUCCACGAAUCUUGCUGCCUCAUUACACUGUCUCCCAGGCUGCAGACCAGCACUUUCUUGAUUCUUUGUAAAGGGAAACAUGUCUUACUUUUCCAAAUCCUUGAAAUCAACUGCUUGGAUAGGGAAGAAAACAAUAAGGGAUGUAGAUACCAACAGUAAAAUUGUCGAGCAAAGCAGGCUCCACGAGGCGUGGCCAAUGGGCAGCUGUUGGCAGUGGCGGAUGGGGGUUGUACAAUAUGAACAGGGCUUGGACAUGUGAACCAGAGUGUCCACAUGUGUAGGCAAAAAGGCCUUAGCUGUGCAGGACAGCAAGACAAUGGUGGAAAGAGACUGGGCUGGAGACUAGCUCUCCCCACAAUGCUGCACUCUGACAUGGACUUCAGAGGGGUCCACGAAGCUAAAUUUGACCCUGGAUUUGUACAUUUGGUCUCUAUGGCCUGAGCCAGUUAUAGGCACUGCUGAGAGCAGGCUGGAAAAGGUCUUCAUCUUGCUUUUCUCUUCUGGCUGACAAGGGCUGCCCGGAGAACUAUAUCGAAGAGGAUCCUGAGGCCAAAUCUGGACAAAAUGCUGUGAUUAAUUAGUAAUGUCUGUCCUCGGUGCAGGGGUGGAGGGUAUGAUAGGACAGUAUGUGUGCUAAGUGUUUGCCUUCCCUGGAAGUCCACAUUGUUAUGAAGGUAUAUUUGUCAAAGUAAAAGGGUGUGAUAUACCUUAUUGAGCAGUUUGUAGCUUGGUUUGUAACUUUCAGCUGUCGAGAUAUAUGGUAAGUUGGCCUCCAUUUGUACUUCUGUGCCUUUCCCUGCAUUUGUUAGAAGUGGGUCUAGUGAAAACCAGGCUUUCCUGCUUCUGCUGUUUUUGCUGCUCCUGCAAGCAGGCCACUCAUGGAGGUGUCUGUUGUCCUGUGGUGGUGGGAGAAGUUCUAGCCUCUGACUACUAGUUUUCUGAGUGUGAGAGUGUGUGUCAUACAUUCAUUUUAGUAAUGCCAAUUGCAGCAGGUGCAGCAAGGGUCGGAGUGGCAGCAGCCUCCAGACCAUAGGAGCCUCCUGAUCUUACCAAUGGCAGGGGCCUCCAGGGCCAGCCCCCUAGUUUGGAAGGCAGCCUCCCUAAUGCAGAAGAAACCAUGGCUUCUUUGGGGGCCUGAUUCUUUGGUGUCACUUAGGGAGUUGUUCCUGAAAGCUUAAGUUCGAAUCUGCUUCUUCAGCCUUCUCGAUGAUUCUAUAAGGCAUAUAAAUACCUGAAAUAAAUCCUUUCUAUAUAAAACUACUAGAGUGGAUUCUGUUCUAGGCAACUGACCAGCACAGGGCACUUAGCCUCCCCUCCAGGAACAAGGGAGACUCUGGUGACCUAGGAAAAUCACUUUUGAAUGCAUUCUAGGGCCUUGUCACUCCAUUGAACUUACUGUCUUUGGUAAGGUUUUCUCCGUUUUUAUUCUGUACCUGGGUUCAACCUCUCUACUACGG